rnacentral:rRNA from 1 species
GUGUUUAACACAUGCAAGUCGAGCGGUAAGGCCUUUCGGGGUACACGAGCGGCGAACGGGUGAGUAACACGUGGGUGAUCUGCCCUGCACUUCGGGAUAAGCCUGGGAAACUGGGUCUAAUACCGGAUAUGACUUCAGGUUGCAUGACUUGGGGUGGAAAGAUUUAUCGGUGCAGGAUGGGCCCGCGGCCUAUCAGCUUGUUGGUGGGGUAAUGGCCUACCAAGGCGACGACGGGUAGCCGACCUGAGAGGGUGACCGGCCACACUGGGACUGAGACACGGCCCAGACUCCUACGGGAGGCAGCAGUGGGGAAUAUUGCACAAUGGGCGAAAGCCUGAUGCAGCGACGCCGCGUGAGGGAUGACGGCCUUCGGGUUGUAAACCUCUUUCAGCAGGGACGAAGCGCAAGUGACGGUACCUGCAGAAGAAGCACCGG